CUGAACUCCUGGUCUCAAGCGAUCCACCUGCCUCGGCCUCCUAAAGUGCUGGGACUACAAGCAUGAGCCACUCUGUGGGACUUGAAGUUUUAUUUUAUAAUUACAUACACACACACACACACAUACACAUAAUCUAGUGCUUCCCCAUGCCAGUUACACUUCUGGGCACUUUGAAAAUGUUAACUCAAAUUUCAUUACAAUUUAAUGAGUGUUUAUUUUACAGGUGAGGAAACUGAGGCACAGAGACCUUAAGAGACUUGUCCAAGGUCAUACCAGGAAAGAUGAAAUUUAAAUUUGAAAUUACCAGAAGAACACAUUCCUGAGAAUAUCAAGAAAGGACACUCUAACCAAGAUAACUGGGUCUUACCCUUGGAAUCUACUUUGGUACCACAUUUCCUUUGAAAAGUCAGGCAAGAGACUGCUGUAUACGGAACAAACUACAAAAGAAAUCUCUAAUGGUUUCAUAAUAGCCUAAUGUGCUCAAUUUGUGCUGGAAAACUCCUUUUUGUCCUUAGCUAUAUCCUUCCAUACAGUUCACGUGCACAUGAACGAUUGCGUGAAUAUGCACCAUGUGCUUCAGCCUCUAGGACCAAGAUCAGUAACCAUAAUCAGUCUCUACUCAAAAUAUACUGGAUGCAUUUUGUAGAGUGGGCUCUUCCUGCCUAUGUCCACUCUACAGAUGCUAAGUGGGGCAAGGAAGGCCUGAAGCAAAGGGUAUGAAAAAUUUCUAUAUAUGCUUUAAUAAAAAUAAGGGAGUACCAGACAUAACUCAUAUCCCAGCAGUUCUAUUUAAAACAGAAAGAUGUAAGUAUGGAAUAUUAUAAGAGUUUAUCAAAGACACUACUAAAUCAGUGGUGAAAACACUGGUGUGAAGCAUUAUUGUAUCUAUGAGCAAUUUCACCUGAUCCCACAUCUCAACCACUUUGGACAAGCUACACAAAAUCUGGGUGAAAAACAAAAAGAGAAAAAUAAAGAUACAGAUAGAAAUCAAACCAAAAACCAGACAAAACAUGUUCGUUCAGGUGCAUAGGUGAAAAUAAUUCUUAUUGCAUUCUAUUAUUAUAGUCCCUGAUAGAAACUGUUUGCUAAACGAAACUUCUUUCAUUUUCAUCAAAAUUCAUGGCCAAUUUGAGGGAAGGUUUAAUUGAAUAUCCUAUACUGUAGGGAAAACGGAUCAGUAAACUGAAGCGAACUCUUGGAAUUGAUCCAUAUAGAUGAUAAAAUCCUUUCUUUUUUUUUUUGCCAGGGGAAUUUAUUUUAACUCUAUCUCAGUGAAUCAGAUGACAGGCU
rnacentral:lncRNA from 1 species